AAGGAUUUAAGUUAAUCAAACUUGAAGCCUUCAAAGCUUCCAAUAAAGAUUAUUUUAACUCUUUAAGCCUUA
rnacentral:tRNA from 1 species